GACGAAGGGGGCUAGCGUUGUUCGGAAUUACUGGGCGUAAAGCGAGUGUAGGUGGUCAUCCAAGUUGGAUGUGAAAGCCUUGAGCUCAACUCAAGAAAUGCAUUCAGGACUGAAUGACUAGAGGACCGGAGAGGAUAGUGGAAUUCCCAGUGUAGUGGUGAAAUACGUAGAGAUUGGGAAGAACACCAAUGGCGAAGGCAGCUCGCUGGGACGUGACUGACGCUGAGACGCGAAAGCGUGGGGAGCAAACAGG
rnacentral:rRNA from 1 species